AUUGGAAAAGAAACUGAAUACUCUCAUGAAAUGAUGAAAAAAAAUGGAGCUUUAAUGUUUCAACUUCAAAGAAUGAGGAAACAAUGGAAAAGGGCAAACUUAACUAGAGUGCUGUACUUUGGUGAGAUCUCUGCAGAGAUUUGGAUGUGAUGGGUGGGAUGUGCCCCAGUACAACAUCAGUCUGUUACCCACUGAUGAAAGUGCUCUCCUGGCUGCUGGGAAUCUUCAAAGAGCAACAGAAUAUUGUUCUGCUGCACAAGUGCUCUGACCAUCGAGCACGUGAAUAACAAUUACCAUUACAAAAUAAAUGGGCUGAAGCAGAGGAAAAGUGUGAUUAGGAAGGAGGAGCAAACAGAAACCACCAUGCCUUGACUACAACCCCUUCUGAGCCACCCUUUGCCUCACUGAAGGGACAGACUGCAACUUGAGGUGGUAACAAGAAGGGUAUGGAGGUGUUUGGGAUGUAACGGAGCAGGGGAAGAGGGGU